UGAGGAAUUUUGCGCAAUGGGAGCAAUCCUGACGCAGCAACGCCGCGUGGGUGAAGAAGGCCUUCGGGUCGUAAAGCCCUGUCAGGUGGGAAGAAGGGUCCUAUCAGGAAAGGGGUGGGAUUUGACGGUACCACCAGAGGAAGCACCGGCUAACUCCGUGCCAGCAGCCGCGGUAAUACGGAGGGUGCGAGCGUUAUUCGGAAUUACUGGGCGUAAAGCGCGUGUAGGCGGGGGAGCAAGUCUGAUGUGAAAGCCCCGGGCUUAACCCGGGGA
rnacentral:rRNA from 1 species